GAUGAACGCUGGCGGCGUGCCUAAUACAUGCAAGUCGAGCGAACGGACGAGAAGCUUGCUUCUCUGAUGUUAGCGGCGGACGGGUGAGUAACACGUGGAUAACCUACCUAUAAGACUGGGAUAACUUCGGGAAACCGGAGCUAAUACCGGAUAAUAUUUUGAACCGCAUGGUUCAAAAGUGAAAGACGGUCUUGCUGUCACUUAUAGAUGGAUCCGCGCUGCAUUAGCUAGUUGGUAAGGUAACGGCUUACCAAGGCAACGAUGCAUAGCCGACCUGAGAGGUGGUUCGGCCACCUUGGACUGGAGCCCCGGCCAGACUCCUACGGGAGGCAGCAGUAGGGAAUCUUCCGCAAUGGGCGAAAGCCUGACGGAGCAACGCCGCGUGAGUGAUGAAGGUCUUCGGAUCGUAAAACUCUGUUAUUAGGGAAGAACAUAUGUGUAAGUAACUGUGCACAUCUUGACGGUACCUAAUCAGAAAGCCACGGCUAACUACGUG
rnacentral:rRNA from 1 species